rnacentral:misc_RNA from 1 species
UAAUAUAGACAAUAUUAAAAAAUAUAUUUCUAAGAAAACGAUUAUUACGCAUGUAAAUAAUGUAAGAUUUAGCUAGAUAUAAGUAUAGUAUUAUAAGGAAAUAAUAAUAAUACAAAAAAAAAAAAAAAAAAAAAAAAAAAAAAAAUACUUGUUAAAAAAAAAAAAAAAAAAAAAAAAAAAAAAAAAAAAAAAAAAAAAAAAAAAAAAAAAAAAUAUACAAA